AGGCCCUUCGGGGUACACGAGCGGCGAACGGGUGAGUAACACGUGGGUAACCUGCCCUGUACUCUGGGAUAAGCCUUGGAAACGAGGUCUAAUACCGGAUACGACCAUGGGACGCAUGUCUUGUGGUGGAAAGUUCCGGCGGUAUGGGAUGGACCCGCGGCCUAUCAGCUUGUUGGUGGGGUAAUGGCCUACCAAGGCGACGACGGGUAGCCGGCCUGAGAGGGUGAUCGGCCACACUGGGACUGAGACACGGCCCAGACUCCUACGGGAGGCAGCAGUGGGGAAUAUUGCACAAUGGGCGAAAGCCUGAUGCAGCGACGCCGCGUGAGGGAUGACGGCCUUCGGGUUGUAAACCUCUUUCAGCAGGGACGAAGCGCAAGUGACGGUACCUGCAGAAGAAGCACCGGCUAACUACGUGCCAGCAGCCGCGGUAAUACGUAGGGUGCGAGCGUUGUCCGGAAUUAUUGGGCGUAAAGAGCUCGUAGGCGGUUUGUCGCGUCGGCCGUGAAAACUUGGGGCUUAACUCCAAGCUUGCGGUCGAUACGGGCAGACUUGAGUUCGGCAGGGGAGACUGGAAUUCCUGGUGUAGCGGUGAAAUGCGCAGAUAUCAGGAGGAACACCGGUGGCGAAGGCGGGUCUCUGGGCCGAUACUGACGCUGAGGAGCGAAAGCGUGGGGAGCGAACAGGAUUAGAUACCCUGGUAGUCCACGCCGUAAACGGUGGGUGCUAGGUGUGGGGGG
rnacentral:rRNA from 1 species